rnacentral:rRNA from 1 species
GACGAACGCUGGCGGCGUGCUUAACACAUGCAAGUCGAACGGAAAGGCCCUGCUUUUGUGGGGUGCUCGAGUGGCGAACGGGUGAGUAACACGUGAGUAACCUGCCCUUGACUUUGGGAUAACUUCAGGAAACUGGGGCUAAUACCGGAUAGGAGCUCCUGCUGCAUGGUGGGGGUUGGAAAGUUUCGGCGGUUGGGGAUGGACUCGCGGCUUAUCAGCUUGUUGGUGGGGUAGUGGCUUACCAAGGCUUUGACGGGUAGCCGGCCUGAGAGGGUGACCGGCCACAUUGGGACUGAGAUACGGCCCAGACUCCUACGGGAGGCAGCAGUGGGGAAUAUUGCACAAUGGGCGGAAGCCUGAUGCAGCAACGCCGCGUGCGGGAUGACGGCCUUCGGGUUGUAAACCGCUUUCGCCUGUGACGAAGCGUGAGUGACGGUAAUGGGUAAAGAAGCACCGGCUAACUACGUGCCAGCAGCCGCGGUGAUACGUAGGGUGCGAGCGUUGUCCGGAUUUAUUGGGCGUAAAGGGCUCGUAGGUGGUUGAUCGCGUCGGAAGUGUAAUCUUGGGGCUUAACCCUGAGCGUGCUUUCGAUACGGGUUGACUUGAGGAAGGUAGGGGAGAAUGGAAUUCCUGGUGGAGCGGUGGAAUGCGCAGAUAUCAGGAGGAACACCAGUGGCGAAGGCGGUUCUCUGGGCCUUUCCUGACGCUGAGGAGCGAAAGCGUGGGGAGCGAACAGGCUUAGAUACCCUGGUAGUCCACGCUGUAAACGGUGGGUACUAGGUGUGGGGUCCAUUCCACGGGUUCCGUGCCGUAGCUAACGCUUUAAGUACCCCGCCUGGGGAGUACGGCCGCAAGGCUAAAACUCAAAGGAAUUGACGGGGCCCCGCACAAGCGGCGGAGCAUGCGGAUUAAUUCGAUGCAACGCGUAGAACCUUACCUGGGUUUGACAUGGAUCGGGAGCGCUCAGAGAUGGGUGUGCCUCUUUUGGGGUCGGUUCACAGGUGGUGCAUGGCUGCCGUCAGCUCGUGUCGUGAGAUGUUGGGUUAAGUCCCGCAACGAGCGCAACCCUUGUUCACUGUUGCCAGCACGUUAUGGUGGGGACUCAGUGGAGACCGCCGGGGUCAACUCGGAGGAAGGUGGGGAUGACGUCAAGUCAUCAUGCCCCUUAUGUCCAGGGCUUCACGCAUGCUACAAUGGCUGGUACAGAGAGUGGCGAGCCUGUGAGGGUGAGCGAAUCUCGGAAAGCCGGUCUCAGUUCGGAUUGGGGUCUGCAACUCGACCUCAUGAAGUCGGAGUCGCUAGUAAUCGCAGAUCAGCAACGCUGCGGUGAAUACGUUCCCGGG